CCUACGGGGGGCUGCAGUGGGGGAUAUUGCACAAUGGAGGAAACUCUGAUGCAGCGACGCCACGUGAGGGAAGACGGUCUUCGGAUUGUAAACCUCUGUCAUUGGGGAAGAAAAUGACGGUACCCAAUGACUAAGCUCCGGCUAACUACGUGCCAGCAGCCGCGGUAAUACGUAGGGAGCGAGCGUUGUCCGGAAUUACUGGGUAUAAAGGGAGCGUAGUCGGGCGAGAAAGUUGAAUGUUAAAUCUAUCGGCUUAACUCGGAGCUGCGUUCAAAACUUCUUGUCUUGAGUGAAGUAGAGGCAGGCGGAAUUACAAGUGUAGCGGUGAAAUGCGUAGAUAUUAGGAGGAACACCAGUGGCGAAGGCGGCCUGCUGGGCUUUAACUGACGCUGAGGCUCGAAAGCGUGGGGAGCAAACAGGAUUAGAUACCCGAGUAGUC
rnacentral:rRNA from 1 species